rnacentral:rRNA from 1 species
UAAGGAAUAUUGGUCAAUGGACGCAAGUCUGAACCAGCCAUGCCGCGUGGAGGAUGAAGGUCCUCUGGAUUGUAAACUUCUUUUAUCUGGGAAGAAAUCCAUAUUUUCUAAUGUGGUUGACGGUACCAGAUGAAUAAGCACCGGCUAACUCCGUGCCAGCAGCCGCGGUAAUACGGAGGGUGCAAGCGUUAUCCGGAUUCACUGGGUUUAAAGGGUGCGUAGGCGGGCAGUUAAGUCAGUGGUGAAAUCUCUGGGCUUAACCCAGAAACUGCCGUUGAUACUAUCUGUCUUGAAUAUCAUGGAGGUAAGCGGAAUAUGUCAUGUAGCGGUGAAAUGCUUAGAUAUGACAUAGAACACCGAUAGCGAAGGCAGCUUACUACAUGUUCAUUGACGCUGAGGCACGAAAGCGUGGGGAGCAAACAGG